rnacentral:tRNA from 1 species
GCUCAGUAGUGCUUCGCCACUACCGUAGCUGGCGGAAAUAGCUUAAUUGGUAGAGCAUAGCCUUGCCAAGGCUGAGGUUGAGGGUUCAAGUCCCUCCAUCCGCUCCCGGCUUCGUCC